rnacentral:rRNA from 1 species
GACCCGUCUUGAAACACGGACCAAGGAGUCUAUCUAAUGUGCGAGUAAAUGGGUAAUUAUGAAACCUAUUUGCGUAAUAAACGUAACUAUUUAAUGGGAUUACGAGACAUAUUUAAAAGUAUUCUCUUCCAUCCCGGAGUACUUUCAUCAACAUAUGCGCAAGUAUAUGGAAAGUAUAUCAUGAGCAUAUUGGAUACGACCCGAAAGAUGGUGAACUAUGCCUGAUCAGGUCGAAGUCAGGGGAAACCCUGAUGGAGGACCGAAGCAGUUCUGACGUGCAAAUCGAUUGUCAGAAUUGGGCAUAGGGGCGAAAGACCAAUCGAACCAUCUAGUAGCUGGUUCCUUCCGAAGUUUCCCUCAGGAUAGCUGGAGCAUAGAGUGAUUGUAUUGCUAACUCAUACCUGGUAAAGCGAAUGAUUAGAGGCCUUAGGAACGAAAUGUUCUUAACCUAUUCUCAAACUUUAAAUGGGUAUGUAAGUCAACAUACUUGAAUGAUGUUGACCAUUAGAUGUACAUUUCGGUGUAUGUCACGUAAGAUUGUAUGCGCCCAGUGGGCCAAGUUUUGGUAAGCAGAACUGGUGCUGCGGGAUGAACCGAACGCAUUGUUAAGGCGCCCAAAUAAACGACGCAUCAUCGAUACCAUGAAAGGUGUUGAUUGCUGAAGACAGCAGGACGGUGGACAUGGAAGUUGUCAUCCGCUAAGGAGUGUGU